AACGAACCCUGGCGGCAUGCCUAACACAUGCAAGUCGAACGAGACCUUCGGGUCUAGUGGCGCACGGGUGCGUAACGCGUGGGAACCUGCCCUUAGGUUCGGAAUAACUCCCCGAAAGGGGUGCUAAUACCGGAUAAUGUCUUCGGACCAAAGAUUUAUCGCCUUUGGAUGGGCCCGCGUUGGAUUAGCUAGUUGGUAGGGUAAAAGCCUACCAAGGCGACGAUCCAUAGCUGGUCUGAGAGGAUGAUCAGCCACACUGGGACUGAGACACGGCCCAGACUCCUACGGGAGGCAGCAGUGGGGAAUAUUGGACAAUGGGCGAAAGCCUGAUCCAGCAAUGCCGCGUGAGUGAUGAAGGCCUUAGGGUUGUAAAGCUCUUUUACCCGGGAUGAUAAUGACAGUACCGGGAGAAUAAGCGCCGGCUAACUCCGUG
rnacentral:rRNA from 1 species